AUUGAACGCUGGCGGCAGGCCUAACACAUGCAAGUCGAGCGGAUGAAGGGAGCUUGCUCCUGGAUUCAGCGGCGGACGGGUGAGUAAUGCCUAGGAAUCUGCCUGGUAGUGGGGGAUAACGUCCGGAAACGGGCGCUAAUACCGCAUACGUCCUGAGGGAGAAAGUGGGGGAUCUUCGGACCUCACGCUAUCAGAUGAGCCUAGGUCGGAUUAGCUAGUUGGUGGGGUAAGGGCCUACCAAGGCGACGAUCCGUAACUGGUCUGAGAGGAUGAUCAGUCACACUGGAACUGAGACACGGUCCAGACUCCUACGGGAGGCAGCAGUGGGGAAUAUUGGACAAUGGGCGAAAGCCUGAUCCAGCCAUGCCGCGGGUGUGAAGAAGGUCUUCGGAUUGUAAAGCACUUUAAGUUGGGAGGAAGGGCAGUAAGUUAAUACCUUGCUGUUUUGACGUUACCAACAGAAGAAGCACCGGCUAACUUCGU
rnacentral:rRNA from 1 species